GACGAACGCUGGCGGCGUGCCUAAUACAUGCAAGUAGAACGCUGAAGGAGGAGCUUGCUUCUCUGGAUGAGUUGCGAACGGGUGAGUAACGCGUAGGUAACCUGCCUGGUAGCGGGGGAUAACUAUUGGAAACGAUAGCUAAUACCGCAUAAUAGUAGAUGUUGCAUGACAUUUACUUAAAAGGUGCAAUUGCAUCACUACCAGAUGGACCUGCGUUGUAUUAGCUAGUUGGUGGGGUAACGGCUCACCAAGGCGACGAUACAUAGCCGACCUGAGAGGGUGAUCGGCCACACUGGGACUGAGACACGGCCCAGACUCCUACGGGAGGCAGCAGUAGGGAAUCUUCGGCAAUGGACGGAAGUCUGACCGAGCAACGCCGCGUGAGUGAAGAAGGUUUUCGGAUCGUAAAGCUCUGUUGUAAGAGAAGAGGCGAGUGUGAGAGU
rnacentral:rRNA from 1 species